rnacentral:rRNA from 1 species
UACGAAGGGGGCUAGCGUUGUUCGGAAUUACUGGGCGUAAAGCGCGCGCAGGCGGUCCUUUAAGUCGGGGGUGAAAGCCCAGAGCUCAACUCUGGAACUGCCUUCGAAACUAGAGGACUUGGGUACGGGAGAGGUGAGUGGAAUUCCGAGUGUAGAGGUGAAAUUCGUAGAUAUUCGGAAGAACACCAGUGGCGAAGGCGGCUCACUGGCCCGUUACCGACGCUCAGGCGCGACAGCGUGGGGGAGCA